rnacentral:rRNA from 1 species
AUUGAACGCUGGCGGCAUGCCUUACACAUGCAAGUCGAACGGCAGCACGGGAGCAAUCCUGGUGGCGAGUGGCGAACGGGUGAGUAAUAUAUCGGAACGUGCCCAGUCGUGGGGGAUAGCGCAGCGAAAGCUGUGCUAAUACCGCAUACGAUCUAUGGAUGAAAGCGGGGGAUCGCAAGACCUCGCGCGAUUGGAGCGGCCGAUAUCAGAUUAGCUAGCUGGUGAGGUAAAGGCUCACCAAGGCGACGAUCUGUAGCUGGUCUGAGAGGACGAACAGCCACACUGGAACUGAGACACGGUCCAGACUCCUACGGGAGGCAGCAGUGGGGAAUUUUGGACAAUGGGCGCAAGCCUGAUCCAGCAAUGCCGCGUGCAGGAUGAAGGCCUUCGGGUUGUAAACUGCUUUUGUACGGAACGAAACGGCGAGCUCUAAUACAGUUUGCUAAUGACGGUACCGUAAGAAUAAGCACCGGCUAACUACGUGCCAGCAGCCGCCGUAAGAC